CGUUCCUACGGGACGCAGCAGUGAGGAAUAUUGAUCAAUGGGCGAGAGCCUGAACCAGCCAAGUCGCGUGAAGGAUGAAGGAUCUAUGGUUUGUAAACUUCUUUUAUAUGGGAAUAAAGUGAGGAACGUGUUCCUUUUUGUAUGUACCAUAUGAAUAAGCAUCGGCUAACUCCGUGCCAGCAGCCGCGGUAAUACGGAGGAUGCGAGCGUUAUCCGGAUUCAUUGGGUUUAAAGGGUGCGCAGGCGGGCCUUUAAGCCGGCGGGGAAAUCGCGGGGCUCAACCCCGCCGAGCCGGCGGAACUGGG
rnacentral:rRNA from 1 species